GUGUCUGAUGAGAGGGUGAGCACUUUCCUUGACAAAGAUGGAAGCGGCCCCAGGCCUGAUGGCACACACACGGGUAAUGCCUUGCCAUCUACGUUGUGGCAUCUAACCGCAGUUUUUA
ensembl:snRNA